rnacentral:tRNA from 1 species
GGGGCCGUAGCUCAGUGGUCAGAGCGGGCGACUCAUAAUCGUUUGGUCGGAGGUUCGAUCCCUCCCGGCCCCA